UGGGGUGUCGACAAGUGGUAAGUCUGCAGAUUUUGAUUCUGCCAUGCCUAGGUUCGAAUCCUAGCACCCCAACCA
rnacentral:tRNA from 1 species